rnacentral:rRNA from 1 species
AUUGAACGCUGGCGGCAUGCCUUACACAUGCAAGUCGAACGGUAACGCGGGGCAACCUGGCGACGAGUGGCGAACAGGUGAGUAAUGUAUCGGAACGUGCCCAGUUGUGGGGGAUAACUGCUCGAAAGAGCAGCUAAUACCGCAUACGACCUGAGGGUGAAAGCGGGGGAUCGCAAGACCUCGCGCAAUUGGAGCGGCCGAUAUCAGAUUAGGUAGUUGGUGGGGUAAAGGCUCACCAAGCCAACGAUCUGUAGCUGGUCUGAGAGGACGACCAGCCACACUGGGACUGAGACACGGCCCAGACUCCUACGGGAGGCAGCAGUGGGGAAUUUUGGACAAUGGACGCAAGUCUGAUCCAGCCAUGCCGCGUGCGGGAAGAAGGCCUUCGGGUUGUAAACCGCUUUUGUCAGGGAAGAAACGCUCUGGGUUAAUACCUCGGGGUAAUGACGGUACUUGAAGAAUAAGCACCGGCUAACUACGUGCCAGCCGCCGCGGUAAUAC